AUUGAACGCUGGCGGCAGGCCUAACACAUGCAAGUCGAGCGGAGCGGCGGACGGGUAAGUAAUGCCUAGGAAUCUGCCUGGUGGUGGGGGAAAAGGUCCGGACACGGGCGCUAAUACCGCAUACUAUCAGAUGAGCCUAGGUCGGAUUAGCUAGUUGGUGGGGGAAAGGCCUACCAAGGCGACGAUCCGUAACUGGUCUGAGAGGAUGAUCCGCCACACUGGAACUGAGACACGGUCCAGACUCCGACGGGAGGCAGCAGUGGGGAAUAUUGGACAAUGGGCGAAAGCCUGAUCCAGCCCUGCCGCUUGUGUGAAGAAGGUCUUCGGAUUUUAAAGCACGUUAAGUUGGGAGGCGUUACCAACAGAAUAAGCACCGGCUAACUUCGUGCCAGCAGCCGCGGUAAUAC
rnacentral:rRNA from 1 species